rnacentral:rRNA from 1 species
CAAUAGCGUAUAUUUAAGUUGUUGCAGUUAAAAGCUCGUAGUUGGAUUUCGGUUGAGAGCGGCCGGUCCGCCGUUUGGUGUGCACUGGCUGGUCUCAACUUCCUGCGGAGGACGCGCUCUGGGCUUAACGGUCUGGACGUGGAGUCCGCGUGGUUACUUUGAAAAAUUAGAGUGUUCAAAGCGGGCUUACGCUUGAAUAUUUCAGCAUGGAAUAACACUAUAGGACUCCUGUCCUAUUUCGUUGGUCUCGGGACGGGAGUAAUGAUUAAGAGGAACAGUUGGGGCGAUCGUAUUCUAUGUCAGAGGUGGAAAUUACUUGGAGUUUAUUGAAAGAACGAACUUCUUGCGAAAGACAUUUGUCCAACGGAGUGUUUUCUAUUAAUUCAAGAACGAAAGUUAGGGGGUCGGUCGAAGAAUGAU